CCACAAAGCUCUUAGAACAAAAUAACUAUGCCCUUGGGGGUUGGGUGGGGGACAGUGAAAAUACGGCAUCUGCAGUUAUUAACUGAGUAGAUUGUUAGUUAACUCAGCUUCUCUUGCCCCAGAAUCCCCUCUGAAGUGGGCUGGAGCUCCAUUGUGGUUCUACAAAGGCAAAACAUCUACCUUGAUCCAUCAAGAUAGGACAGCUGUUUUGGGGAUGGGAAAAGCCAACUCAUUUCUUAAACAACAGGUGGAUAAGUCUCACGAGAUCUGAUGGUUUUAAAAAUGGGAGUUUCCCUGUACAAGCUCUCUGCCUGCUGCCAUCUGUGUAAGAAGUGCUCCUUGCCCUCCGACAUGAUCGUGAGGCCUCCCCAGCCACAUGGAAUUCAGGAAGCAAAGGACUCUGAAAUGGUGGAACACGAUGCAAGGAACCUGUAUCCUUGGGUUUACCCCUCAGAGGAAAACCACCCUGGAGAGUUGCUCAUACAGGAACCAUCUCAUAGGACUUUGUGUGAGUGAAAAAUCAACCUUUGGUUAAGCCACUGAAAUUUCAGGGUUUCUUCGUUACCACAGCAGAUUCUAGUCUACCUGACUGUCUCAGUCUGUUUGUGUCGGUAUGCAGAAAUAUCUGGCUGGGCGCAGUGGCUCAUGUCUGUAAUCCCAGAACUUUGGGAGGCCAAGGCAGGCAGAUCACUUGAGGCCAGGAGUUCGA